rfam:Medicago truncatula strain A17 chromosome 3, whole genome shotgun sequence.
AUACUUACCUGGAUGGGGUCAAUGGGUGAUCAAGAAGGCCCAUGGCCUAGGAAGGUGACCUCCAUUGCACUUUGGAGGGGUGCCUUCCUAAGGUCUACCCAAGUGGUGGAGCCUACAUCAUAAUUUGUUGCUGUGGGGGCCUGCGUUCGCGCGGCCCCCUC